rnacentral:rRNA from 1 species
AACGAACGCUGGCGGCAGGCUUAACACAUGCAAGUCGAACGCCCCGCAAGGGGAGUGGCAGACGGGUGAGUAACACGUGGGAACGUACCCUUUUCUACGGAAUAACCCAGGGAAACUUGGACUAAUACCGUAUGUGCCCUUCGGGGGAAAGAUUUAUCGGAAAAGGAUCGGCCCGCGUUGGAUUAGCUAGUUGGUGGGGUAAAGGCCUACCAAGGCGACGAUCCAUAGCUGGUCUGAGAGGAUGAUCAGCCACAUUGGGACUGAGACACGGCCCAAACUCCUACGGGAGGCAGCAGUGGGGAAUAUUGGACAAUGGGCGCAAGCCUGAUCCAGCCAUGCCGCGUGAGUGAUGAAGGCCUUAGGGUUGUAAAGCUCUUUCACCGGAGAGGAUAAUGACGGUAUCCGGAGAAGAAGCCCCGGCUAACUUCGUGCCAGCCGCCGCGGUAAAAC